GGCUGCUCUUCCCUCCUCGACGGCUCAAGUUGCGGCAGGGUCCUUGGCCGAUCCUCUCUACUCUCAGGCCGACGUCGAAUGAACCUAUCGAGCCGACCUCGUUUGAUGAGCUCCUCGAUCUCGUCUCGGAGUUGAAUGCAUUCCUCUGUGUCGUGGCCGUGGUCACGAUGGUAGAGGCAGAACUUGUUAGGAUUGCGCUUCUCGGGGUGUGUGC
rnacentral:lncRNA from 1 species